GGGCUCUCUCUAACUUAGACUGAUCAUCGUCAAGCCUUUUCCUCAGGUUCAUACCAGAGAGUGGGAAAAUCCUAGUGCCAUGAUAAAUGAGAACAGGGAAGGGACUGGACCCCAGUGCUGUGCUCAUGUUAUCCUUACUCAUCUUGGCUUCCCUCCACUUUUGCCUAGGUAUGUUCAGGUCUUGCACAGCAUGGCAAUUACACCCCUGCCGUUCUCAGUACACUCCCUUUUCCUUACUCUUUUUUCUCUCUUUCUCUUUCUUCCCUUCCCUCCCUCCCUCCCUCCCUCCCUCCCUCCCUCCCUCUCAGACAUACCUCUCCCUACUUUUUCUGUCUUCUAGACCUUAUGUACCUUCCCCAUCCAUUAUCUGCCUUGCAGGUUUUGACCAGCCUAGCCUACUGAACUGAGAACGUAUACGGCAAAUCUGUUUGGCAGUGCAGCCCUUCCAUAUUUUGAGUGGCACAGAGUCAUGAAGGGAACAAGGAAGGUUCUCACCCCCGCACCCAAACCCACCCACCCCCGCAAAAAACCCAAAUUAUACAUGCAGGUCUAAUGUAGCUCUGAUACCUCCAAUGUUUCCUAAGCCUAGUGUUCUCUCUGAGGUGUUUAGUUUAAACGUGGGGUGCAAUGUGCAAACUAUUCACUUUUCAGCCACUCUGUGGAACAAAUAGCAGCACUGCUGAUUGAAAUGCCAACCUUUUCUGCCACUUCAGCUAAAUUGGCUCAAAUGUCACAAUGUUUGGGAAUCAGGUUUUGAAGGAAGAGGAAAGCCAAGGGAGAAAGCAUCACAUUCUUUUUCCCUAGAAGUGCCAGAAGCUACCCAGUAUGCAAGGCUGCCUUUGGCCUUAGCUCGCCUCCCAGCACCAGGUAAUGAAUCACAGUGUGAAAUUUUGCCUCUUUCCUUCCCCUGCUCCGUUAGUGAUGCUUCCGAGUCAUAUUUGGUGCAUAGCAGAGGAGCCAACUCCUAGGGGCCAAGGUCCCUUCGCUCCCCCCAUAAAAUAUUUGAUGUAGCCACCCCCCCCACAAGUUGAUAGGCAUUGUAAUCCAAAUAGUGUGUGUACACUAAGUCAUGUCAUCGAUUACGCAGGGCAAGGUUUACCUGCCCCCCCCAUUUUAUUCAAGUUUACACCCCUGGUGCAUAAUGAAGAACUCCCAUCCUCGGGUUCAUAGGGAUAUUUUGAGAUGGAAACUACAUUUAGAUGGGAAGCAAGCACAUUUAGGUUCUACCCUGAUUGCAGCAAAGCUGCUCUCCCUCUUUCUGCAUUUCUAUCUGUAUGGUCUAAGAUAACGACUUUGAAUUACAUUGCGAGAAUCUCUCUCUUGGUUAUUCUUACUAGAAAACAAAGUCUGCAAUUCUCUCAGGAAACGGUUGGCCUUCCUUUGAGCAAAUCAAACUGUGAAAUGAGGCAAUGGGUGGCAAUCUUUUUUUUUUUUAAGGAAUUACACCUUUUUAAAGAGGGUGGAAACUCCUGCCCAUGAAUUUCCAAGAGAAUAAACUCCAGAGCAGUAGUUGUCCCUAGUAGCAAAAAGAUGGCAAAUGCUGUGACAUCUUGGAGACUAACUGGCUUAUUAUUUCAAGCUGGGCUGGCUAUCUCAUGUCUACUCAUCUGUCAGUUGACGCAGGCCUGGUCUGGGGAAAGUCCCGUUUCUCUUAAGGGAGGGCUAGCAGUGGUCGCCUGGGCUCAGGCCACUGUUUCUUUGUGAAGAGGAAGCGAGACUAAGCAGGCCCAGUUACCUCUUGUGAAAUAACUCUCUUAUAAUUUUUAAUAAAAGUUCUAGUGGGUAGUACCAACUCUGUACUGGAUAUGUUACAGUCAGAGUUGCAACACUCAGAUUCCACCAGGUCUGAUGUGGAGAUCAGUAACAAAAAUUGAACAUGUUGUUGUUACGAAAAGGGCUCAAAAGCAGCCUAGCCUAUAGAGAGCACUUUGCUCUGAGUGCUCCUAAUUAAGCAUUGGCAGUUACUCCAUGUUGACAAGUGGGCUGGGGUAUAUUUUCACUUGUCGUAGGCAAGCUCAGAGAACACCCUGGUACAUUUAAUUUUGUGGCGCAGGAGGAACGUACCUUGUAGUGGCUGCUUCACCUACUAGUACAAAUCUAUGCUUGCUUCUUCACUAAUUUUACUUGUAUUUCUGCGCCCAGGAGAAAACAUUUGCAACACUAAGGAUGCACUCCUAAGCAUACGUAACUGGGAAGUGAGUGCCGUUGAACUGAGUGGGAUAUACUUCUGAGUAGACAUGCACAGGGUUGCACUGCAAGGAUACAUUUUGGGUCUCGAUAUCUUGGUCAGAACUCUCCUUAGGUAACUUGACAAAAUGGCCACCAACCAGCUGCAUGACUGAAAAGUUAUGUACAGUAGAGUAUGGCUUUUGAAAUACUAAGAUGGCAUGCAUCCAUUUUGUAUGUCCUACAACGUUGCUUCAUCGUAGAAAGGACUUGGCUUCUACUUCAGGGCAUAUUUUUGGCUUUCUUUUGUCUGCACAGUUGGCAGUCUUAGCUGUUGUUUCUUUAAUGAGUUAUUUGAUACUAAAAGCAGGAUAUUUUCCUUUCCUUCCACUGGAGGGAGACAAAGACAGACACGUGAAUAUGUUAAAAGGAAGUACUGUUUAAAUGAGCACUCAUUUUGCCUUUGGCGGCAGGAGACUGAGGUCAAGUCUAGGAGGCUGGAUGCGUAGCAUUCCCCAUUUGCUCCGUGUUGGCCCAGCACAGUUGUAUUUCACUCGCUGUGAAAUGGUUGUUUGUUUGUUUGUUUUUAAAUAAAAAGGGCUGGCAAUAAUCUAAACUUACCGUAGGCAGAUCUACAUUUCAAACCUAGGUCAGGUUUAUACUGCUUUAAAUGACAUGACUUCUCCAGGGAAAUCAUGGGAAUUGUAUUUUUAUGAAUUUGCUGAGAAUAUUCUUUUUCAAUCUUCCCCAGAAUUGCCAUUCCACUGCCUCCGUUGGUGGAAACCCAUGGUAAACUGGGUUUAUUUAGUGAUGUAGCCACACGCUAGCUGGUGACUGUGUCAGCAUUUGCACUACACUUGGAGGAAUGGAUCACAUUUUGCCAAGAUCUGAAAGCAUAAAUGUUGGCAUUGACACAAUUCUGACAUAACACUAAGUUCUCGCUUUCUUUCAGGCCAUUUCUUCUCCUUCCCCACUAGCUGCUUUUAAACAGGAAAGGGUAUUUUAUCACCCAGCAUGCCCUAUUUUUCUAUUGCAUUAUAUGGUCAUGUAUGUACUCAAGCUCACUCAUUUUACCCUUGUACUUUUCCCUGAAGAAGUUGAUGGAAAAGUAACAUUUUAAAACAUAGAUAUUCACUACACAAAAAGUGGCAAUCUCAUUCUAAUUUUCUUAAUCUGAUUUCUCAGAUAGUUCUAGAAGGGAAAUUUAAUGAGAUUUCCCUUGAGGAUUGGCCUUGUUCUAAGUCAUGCUGAAUAUGAACAUGGAACAAAAUAAGAUAAUCAGCUUGGUUGCAAGGCAUCUGUCAACCUAAUCCAGAAAAAAAGAACCACAUGUGUAAGCAACUAUACAUAUACAUUGCCCCUGGAUGCACACCUGCAUGUUCAUCUAAGUGUUGCUGAAUGGCUGGGUGAAUAAUUUAAUGCACAUGAGGCCACCAUUUGUUAUGGGGUUAUGAAGUUACCAGUUGCACUCAACUCCAGUUGCAUAUGGCCCAAGUCCCUCUCCUCCAAAUGCCUGGUCAUUGACUCUGUUAUAUAUAUAAUAUAUACACACAUCAUUACACUGGCUGACUGAUGUGCAUCAUACUGUCUUCUCUUACUUUCUCCCCCACCCCACCAAACCUCUCCCAUUUGACCUUUAAGUUCUAAAUUGUACAAGUUCAGAUAGAUUUCCCUCUCCUCUCUCCCAGUGAUGGCGGAACUGGAAUUUGUAAUGGAACUCACUCACUCUCUAAAGAAUCAAGUUGGAGAAGUGAAGGUUGGGUGGCUUAUAUUUGGUUUGGAAAUUACUCUGAAAUUCUAAGUAAAUGUGGUGAAAGAGGCUAGAAUGCUUUCAUAUGUUCCUCUUCACGUACUAGUCCUUGUGUGCCUACUUUUCUCCAUGACCUUCACGUAAGACCAUCAUUGGAAGAAGCACUCUUUAAAAAAACACUGUGGUGGGGCUACAUCGUUACCUGAUCCAGUAAAUUAAGCUUGAUUUUUUUUUCCCCUGAAGAAGAAAAAGACUUCUGGGUGGAUGGUAGAAACUAGAUCAUAUCAAAGCAGGACAAGCCCCCAAAUCUCACUUUGAACCCUGUUAAAGAACAAGCCAUUGUUUGAAGCAACAUAAAAUGUUGUUUCAAACUCUCAUCUCUGGAAUGACUGGUCAGUCAUAAAUUAUGCUUCUUGUUAAUGCCGCCUCCCAGACUAGUAACUCACCAAAAAUUGUUUUUUUAACCUUCCAGCUGGAAUGCAUUUCAUGGCUUACAUUUUAGGGUACACAGCUAAAACUGAUAUUUAUGACUAGGCCAAAUGCACUUUCUUUACCAUGUGUAUGAGAAGGCCAAACCUAAGCCAAGCCUGAACAUACCAUCACCUGCUGCAUGUAUAUAGAGCGGAAGACAUGCUUUGCUGCUGCAUCAUGAGAAUGGAAGCUUGUUUGCUUGCUUUGACUGCUUUCCAUUAGCUUUUCUAAGUUUUCAUACAGUCGUACCUUGGUUGUUGAACAGAAUCUGUUCCAGAAGUCCAUUUGACUUCCAAAAACGUUCAACAACCAAGGCACGGCUUCUGAUUGGCUGCAGGAGCUUCCUGCAGCCAAUUGGAAGCCCCGUCGGAUGUUUGGCUUCCAAAGAUUGUUUGCAAACCGGUUGCAAACGCUCACUUCUGGGUUUGUGGCGUUUGGGAGCCAAAACAUUCAAGUCACAUGGCAUUCGAGAUCCAAGGUACGACUAUAUUUGCUUUUUCCUUAUCCCGAUGCUAUUCCCAGUUUUGCAUCCGUUAUCUUGAAAUGAUUACCAUGUCUUGUUGCAAGUAACCAAAUGGCAUUGCAAUCAAACUGAGAUGGGACAGACAAAGAAACUUCACAUUCUUGCUCAUUUCUACAGCUCUUUUAUUCUGCCUAAAUUCCCUCCCCUCUCUCAUGCUUUUUUUGCAAGACAGAUGCAGGUGGUGGUCAUUUUAUAUCAUCCGGGUGUUGCAAAUGCAAGCGGUCAGUCAGCAAAGUUUGAGUUUUACCUUUUGUAUAUCAGCCACAAGGUUUGAUUCCAGAGCUUUGGAAAGAACACUUUUUAACCUACUAUUGGAGUUUGGAAACAUCUGUAGAAAGUAAGUGUUCAAUCAAACCAGUAAGUUAUUAUGUAACUGAUCUGAGUACCUUCUUGAUCCUUCUUCCUAACAUAAAGCUGUUUAGAUAUGGACAGAAGUGUGCAUGGAAAUUACAAGGACGCUUGGGGGAAGGGUCAUAGGUCAGAGGUAGAACAAGUGAUUUGCAUUCAAGUUCAAUCUUUGACAUUUUCAGGUAGGGCUGGGGAUGACAGCACAGACAAAAUUUAGCUUGAUGGACUAAUGGUCUGACUCUGUAUUUGACCACUGAGCCUUUUGGGCCUGCUGAUCAGAAGAUCAGCGGUUCAGAUCUAGGUGAUGGAGUGAGCUCCCGUUGCUCUGUCCCAGCUUCUGCCAACCUAGCAGUUCGAAAGCACACCAGUGCAAGUAGAGAAAUAGGUACCGCUGGGGCGGGAAGGUAAACGGUGGAAAGCUGUCUGUGGAUAAACACCAGCUCCCUUGGCCUGAAAAGCGAGAUGAGCGCCACACCCCAGUCACCUUUGAUUCGACUUAACCGUUCAGGGGUCCUUUACCUUUUUUUACCUUUACCCUGUAUCUCAUUUGGCUGCACUUAGGUGAGCAAUUUUAUUUACACUGGAACAUGAAACAGACUAACUUCUUGCAGCAUUUGUCUGCAUGCAAAAGGGUUGUUGUUGUUUUUUAAAAAAUCAGGUGUGAUUGGCUUAGGGCAUCCCCUAGGCCAAAAAGAUAAGAGUUGUACAUUUUCUCACCAGGAGGCUUGGCAUAUUUAGGAGAGUUGGCCCAAAGUAGCUACUAACCUUGAAGAAUCCUAUCCUGUUUCUCUGUGUUGUGAGCUGUGUUGGUAGGACUGCCAGAUCUAAAUUUCAAAAACAAAGGGACACUGGAAGAGGAAUGUCUGGACAUAUGUUGUGACCUAUUGGGGCUGUGCUUUUUGGAAUUCUGGGUAUGUAGAAUCCUGGGGAGGCCCACUCUUGAGGCAAUUGAAACGGCACUGUCUAGCCUCAUGGAUAUUAUCUGGAGAUGUAACAGAAUGGGGAGAUCCAGCAUAAAUGUCCUGCAGCAAACUUAAGAAUUACCUAUAUUAGAGGGUCUCUGAGGAUCACUUGGACUCAAAAUGUUAUAAUCUUUCUCUGAGGUUCCUUCUAGCCAGCUGAAUAAUUCUCCCCGCCCCCCAUGGUCUAUUUGUAUCUUGGGCAGGCUUUCUGUUGGAAAUAGGAAUAAUCCCACGAUGGGGCGAAGGGAAUGAGGCCUUCUUCUGUCUUUUGUUGUAUCCACUUUUUGGUCCAUCUUUUAUUUUUUGCUUUUGUUGGGUUCUUCUUCUUUUUUUCUAAACUAGAGCAAACAAUUUUAUAAAAAAGGACAAAAAAAUGUACACUGAAAAGCACUAACAAAGCCUGAUUAUGUAACCUCUGUGCAGAUGCAGCAUGGACUUUUCUCUCUUCCCCCUUCCAGGCGCUUUGGGUUGAUGCAAGCAGCUACUCCAAUAUCAGCCCCUCUCCCUCCCUUGCCCCUUGUAAAACCCUCUCAGAGAGGAAAACAGAUCCUUUAAAAUGAAAUAACAAAAGCAUCCUCCCCCUUUCCCCCGCCCGCCCCACCCCAGCUCCCUCAGCACCCCCUGCUUUUCACCUUAAAGCCCACCUCUUUGCCCCUGGAUAAUGCCAGUAUUUGUUCUGUGUUAUAAGUGCCAAGAAAAAUUUUGUGACUCCCUCAUCCCUGUGACCUGAGAGUAUCAAGAAAUUGCACAUUAACUACUGUAAAGAUUAAAAAUAAAAAAAGGAAUUCAGAAAUGUUAAUAAAAAAAAAAGUUUGU
rnacentral:lncRNA from 1 species